rnacentral:siRNA from 1 species
AAUAUUGUGUAUGCCGCAUUUACA